UGAGUUCCAGCAGUGCACAACCAUGAUCAUGAAGGUGGUUCUCCCAGGACGAGGCUAGCCUUUUGCACCUCGGGUGUGCUGAUGCCUGAGAUGUCCCCAAAUGCGGGAUACUCGACUGCAAAAUUUGUAGAUAAUACAUAGUGCUGCCACUGUGCGUU